GAUGAACGCUAGCGGCAGGCUUAACACAUGCAAGUCGAGGGGCAGCGUGAGGGUUAGCAAUAACCCUUGACGGCGACCGGCGCAAGGGUGCGUAACGCGUGAGCAACUUGCCCUUAUCAGGGGGAUAACCGGUGGAAACGCCGACUAAUACCCCAUGGCAUUGGUUGGAGGCAUCUCCUUCCAAUUAAAGAGUUUCGGAUAAGGAUAGGCUCGCGUGACAUUAGCUAGACGGCGGGGUAACGGCCCACCGUGGCAACGAUGUCUAGGGGUUCUGAGAGGAAGGUCCCCCACACUGGAACUGAGACACGGUCCAGACCUCCGUACGGGAGGCAGCAGUGAGGAAUAGUUGGUCAAGUGGGCGCGAGCCUGAACCAGCCAAGUA
rnacentral:rRNA from 1 species